UUUUGACACGACGCAUAGAAGUUGGGAGGAAGGCGAGAAGUUUUGUCUCGCCCGGCGAGGCCACCUGGCUAGCAUACACUCUGAGCAAGAUGCCCGAUUCAUUACUGAUCACUCAUAUUACUAUUCUACUUGGAUGGGAGAAAAGAAGAAGGGCAACAACUACGGGUGGACUGACGGAACAGCUUCUGACUACGGAAAAGUUGUCUACAGCUCCAGUGGUGACUGUUCUAAUUUGUAUACCAGCGAAA